UACAGGGGGUGCAAACGUUGCUCGGAAUUAUUGGGCGUAAAGCGCGCGUAGGCGGCUACUUAAGUCGGAUGUGAAAGCCCUUGGCUCAACUGAGGAAGUGCACCCGAAACUGAGUGGCUUGAGUACGAAAGAGGGUCGCGGAAUUCCCGGUGUAGAGGUGAAAUUCGUAGAUAUCGGGAGGAACACCGGUGGCGAAGGCGGCGACCUGGGUCGAUACUGACGCUGAUGUGCGAAAGCGUGGGGAGCAAACAGG
rnacentral:rRNA from 1 species